rnacentral:misc_RNA from 1 species
GAAAUGCGAUAAUUAAUGUGAAUUGCAGAAUUCAGUGAAUCAUCGAGUCUUUGAACGCACAUUGCGCCCCCUGGUAUUCCGGGGGGCAUGCCUGUCCGAGCGUCAUUGCUGCCCUCAAGCACGGCUUGUGUGUUGGGCUUCCGUCCCUGGCAACGGGGACGGGCCCAAAAGGCAGUGGCGGCACCAUGUCUGGUCCUCGAGCGUAUGGGGCUUUGUCACCCGCUCCCGUAGGUCCAGCUGGCAGCUAGCCUCGCAACCAAUCUUUUUAACCAGGUUGACCCCGGAUCAGGUAGGGAUACCCGCUGAACUUAAGC